UAGAUGUUGGAGAUCGUUUCCGUUCUAGC
rnacentral:piRNA from 1 species